rnacentral:rRNA from 1 species
CUGACAAGUGUGGGGGUACGUCCGGAACGGGCGCUAAUACCGCAACGUCCUGAGGGAGAAAGUGGGGGAUCUUCGGACCUCACGCUAUCAGAUGAGCCUAGGUCGGAUUAGCUAGUUGGUGGGGUAAAGGCCUACCAAGGCGACGAUCCGUAACUGGUCUGAGAGGAUGAUCAGUCACACUGGAACUGAGACACGGUCCAGACUCCUACGGGAGGCAGCAGUGGGGAAUAUUGGACAAUGGGCGAAAGCCUGAUCCAGCCAUGCCGCGUGUGUGAAGAAGGUCUUCGGAUUGUAAAGCACUUUAAGUUGGGAGGAAGGGCAGUAAGUUAAUACCUUGCUGUUUUGACGUUACCAACAGAAUAAGCACCGGCUAACUUCGUGCCAGCAGCCGCGGUAAUACGAAGGGUGCAAGCGUUAAUCGGAAUUACUGGGCGUAAAGCGCGCGUAGGUGGUUCAGCAAGUUGGAUGUGAAAUCCCCGGGCUCAACCUGGGAACUGCAUCCAAAACUACUGAGCUAGAGUACGGUAGAGGGUGGUGGAAUUUCCUGUGU